rnacentral:rRNA from 1 species
UGCAAGUCGAGGGGCAUCAUGAGGUAGCAAUACCUUGAUGGCGACCGGCGCACGGGUGAGUAACGCGUAUGCAACCUGCCCGAUACCGGGGUAUAGCCCAUGGAAACGUGGAUUAACACCCCAUAGUACUUUUAUCCUGCAUGGGAUGUGAGUUAAAUGUUCAAGGUAUCGGAUGGGCAUGCGUCCUAUUAGUUAGUUGGCGGGGUAACAGCCCACCAAGACGAUGAUAGGUAGGGGUUCUGAGAGGAAGGUCCCCCACAUUGGAACUGAGACACGGUCCAAACUCCUACGGGAGGCAGCAGUGAGGAAUAUUGGUCAAUGGACGUAAGUCUGAACCAGCCAAGUCGCGUGAGGGAAGACUGCCCUAUGGGUUGUAAACCUCUUUUAUAAGGGAAGAAUAAGUUCUACGUGUAGAAUGAUGCCUGUACCUUAUGAAUAAGCAUCGGCUAACUCCGUGCCAGCAGCCGCGGUAAUACGGAGGAUGCGAGCGUUAUCCGGAUUUAUUGGGUUUAAAGGGUGCGUAGGCGGUUUAUUAAGUUAGUGGUUAAAUAUUUGAGCUAAACUCAAUUGUGCCAUUAAUACUGGUAAACUGGAGUACAGACGAGGUAGGCGGAAUAAGUUAAGUAGCGGUGAAAUGCAUAGAUAUAACUU